GUGGAGCAUGUGGCUCAAUUUGACCCAACGCGGGGAACCUUACCGGGUCCGGACACACAGAGGAUUGACUUACUUUUAGUUUGCAGACCAUUCAUGAUCGUGUGGUAGGUGGUGCAUGGCCGUUCUUAGUCCGUGGGGUGACCAGUCAGCUUAACUGUGACUUUAACUUAUAUAAUUACUUUCACAUUUUUUUUCUUGACACAAAAAACCUCGUGCUGUCAAAUAAAGGAAUUUGAACGUGCUCGCCCUUGAUAGUUUGUCUAAAACUUUAUUAUCAACAAAAAUGGCACACGGGACUCUUUUAUUUUUUCGUUUUGCCCUGCCUAACUGCGUUCCAAACGUAAGUGGGCAGGAUUAACCAAAUUUUCGAUGAUUCUAAGCAACGAACGUGACCG
rnacentral:rRNA from 1 species